rnacentral:rRNA from 1 species
GACGAACGCUGGCGGCGUGCUUAACACAUGCAAGUCGUACGGCAAGGCCCUUUCGCGGGUACUCGUGUGGCGGACGGGCGAGUAACACGUUAGUAACCUGCCCACAACUUUGGAAUAACGCUAGGAAACUGGUGCUAAUACUUAAUAUGUGCUCCUUCUGCAUGGUGGGGGUUGGAAAGCUCCGGCGGUUGUGGAUUUACUGGCGGCCUAUCCGCUUGUGCGUGGGGUAGUGGUCUACCCAGGCGGCGGCGGGUAGCAGGCCAGGGUGGGUGACAGGCCGCAUUGAGUCUGAGAGGCGGCCCAGACUCCGACGUGAGGAAGCAGGGGGGAAUAUUGCACAAGGGGCGCAAGCCGGAUGAAGAAGCGCCUCGGGCGGGAUGACGGCCUUGGGGUUGUAAAACGGUGUCAUCCGAGACGAAGCUUUUGGUGACGGUACCUGAAGAAGAAGCACCGGCUAACUACGUG